rnacentral:rRNA from 1 species
UGCCAGCAGCCGCGGUAAUACGGAGGGAGCGAGCGUUAAUCGGAAUUACUGGGCGUAAAGCGCACGUAGGUUGAUAUUCAAGUCGGAUGUGGAAGCCCUGGGCUUAACCUAGGAACUGCAUCCGAUACUGGGUAUCUAGAGUAUGGUAGAGGGAAGUGGAAUUUCCGGUGUAGCGGUGAAAUGCGUAGAUAUCGGAAAGAACACCAGUGGCGAAGGCGGCUGCCUGGCUCAAUACUGACACUGAGGUGCGAAAGCGUGGGGAGCAAACAGGAUUAGAUA